GUCUCGUUUUGAUUCUAGUCUCUGGUUUAUUUUGUAGUACUUCCUGUUUAUACUCUGAUCACAGCUGUUGUUCCUGUCACUACCGGUUCUCAUUAGACACACCUGACAAUAAUCAGUAAUCCGCGUCUGUAUAUAGUCUCCACCUCACACACUCUCUAGUUGCCAGAUUGUUUGCGUGCAUUCACAAUCAUCCAGCAUUUUGUUCUUGUCCCGACCUGUGGUUCUGAUCUUGUUUUGCCUGCCGUUACCGAGUCUUGCCUGAUCCCUGCCUGCAUCGUCUGCUGAACCUGUCUGGUAAAUACCCUGCCUGUCUUAUGAUUACGAUUCUGCCUGAUCCUGAUCGGUACUGCUAUCUCUGCCUACACGGUUAACGAACCAUGUUUGUCCACGGAACUGAGCCUGCCUGAACCCUUGUGUUGAACAUUUUUGCUUACCCGUGAAUGACCCUGCCUGACUCUGCAUUUCUGGAAUAAAUCCCUUUUUGUAACAUCCAAAGCUAUUUUUUGCCGUGCAUGUGGAGCUGCCAUCUAUGACGUUCUGACACUCAGUGUGCGCUCUACCAUAGUAGGUGGCGGUAAUGCACCUUUCAGUGUGUUGCCACCUGCCAUUUAAAAGACAAAAGAAGAAGUCACUCACUGUGACAUGAAUUGACAUGGGGCCAUUCAGAAAGUGCUCCUUUGUUGGUUGUUCCAACCAGCAUUGCAUCUUUUUUAUUUCACCAGUGUAACAAGAAAGGAGAACUUUAUGGAUAAAAUUUUUUGUAAAUGGGCUGGUGCCGGCACCGCUGACUAAAUGCUUAUUUUUGUGUGGACACCAUUUCACCUCCGUCUGCUUUGAAAUCAAGGGUAUAUUUAUUACUGUGCUUGAGGUUGAAGAAGCGCUCCAUUCCUACAAGACGUGAUCCACUUGCUGCUUCCCCAAAUACUGACGCAUCCCAACUACCGAAACGCGAGGAGGUUGCUUCUCAAACUGACGCCACUGCAGGCUGUGGAGACACGCGGCUACCUUGUAGAAGAGUUGCUGCUCACCUCAGGAGCAACGGUAUGCACAUUUAACAGCAGUGUAAUCAUUUGUUGGCCAAUAUGCAGUUUUAUUUGACAGAGAUUUUGGAUUUCACAUUUCAGUAGUUGUAGUAUUCAUAAUCUGAUCUAUAUUUUUGUCUAUAUAUUUACUCUGUAUGCAGUUGAUCAACAUUUGAUAUUUUAGUCUUUUUAUGGGUAAUUUGUAAUUCUAAUGUUAUGGUGCAGAUUAUGUGGAAAAGCUGAUGAACAGCCACAGGUGCGUUUGAUGACAGAGAGACAAUUUAUGUCUUCCGACCCUGGACCGAAGCAAACUGCACAGAAGUGUGCAA
ensembl:lncRNA